rnacentral:rRNA from 1 species
GCAUGGACUUGUAUUUGUGCAUAGGAUGCUGGCAUAAUGGCCUUAAGCGACCCGUCUUGAAACACGGACCAAGGAGUCUAACAUGCCUGCGAGUGUUUGAGUGGGUAAACUCGAGCGCGUAAUGAAAGUGAAAGUUGAGACCUCUGUCAUGGAGGGCAUCGACGCCCGGACCAAAGUCUAUUGACGAUGGAUCUGCGGUAGAGCAUGUAUGUUGGGACCCGAAAGAUGGUGAACUAUGCCUGAAUAGGGUGAAGCCAGAGGAAACUCUGGUGGAGGCUCGUAGCGAUUCUGACGUGCAAAUCGAUCGUCAAAUUUGG